rnacentral:tRNA from 1 species
GGUGGUAUGGCUCAAGUGGUAAAGCACCUGCCUAGCAAAAAGCAAAGGCCUGAGUUCAAAUCCCAGUACUACCA